UUUUGACUUAAAUGAUGCUUUAUUUUUCUGACGCUGUAACUGGAAUGUUAUUCUCAAUAGGAAUAUGUCAAUUUUAUGAUUUCUAGCCAGCAAUGUGCUUAUUAAUCUAUGUACUCAUAUUUAUUAAAUAUAUUUUGAUUUGAUAUCUUCUCCAUUUUCCCAGUCACCUGAUGAAUUGAUGGACAUGGCACAUAAAUAUUAUGUUGAUACUGCACUUCCAAAGCUGGUGGCAGAUUUUGCGUCCCUUGAACUCUCACCUGUUGAUGGAAGGACGUUGACUGAUUUCAUGCUACAAAUGCACCUGCACAUUGAUUUCCAAUAAGAAAACCAUGUUAUUGAUUCCUUACCCAUUCCCUAGGAUACUAAAGAACUUUUUAUUUUUUAAUUAUAUAUUUUUUUCUGCAGCAUUAGGUUCAUAAAUUAAGUAGGGGUUUUCACAGGUCUGUUUGGACCAAAUUUAGUUGAAAGUAAAAUCUUAACCAAUUAAUUUUAAUUGGUUUGAAUUGUUUUAAAUUUUUCGAAAAAAACAAAUUCAAAAUCAAAAUCUAAUGAUAGUCUCGAUUUGGUUCAGCCUAUUGGAUCCAAUAAUAUAUAAGUAUACAAAAUUUUGUUUACCAAUAAUUCUAUGAUUAACCUUGAAUAGUUUUGUAAGCAAAGUGUUAUAGGUCACUAUAUCCGGGUAACAACCCCUUGACAUCAUUAUUUCCAAAUACUCAAUUGCUCUAUCCAUCUUUUUUCUCUUGACAAAACCCAUGAAGCAAUGGAUUGUAACUCAAGGAUAACACUCCCUCUGCAGCUGCCUGUUGAGAACCUCCAUUGCCUCCUUCAAUUUCCCACUGCUACACAAACUACGCAAAAUGGUGUUAUAUGUAACAACAUCAGGAGCAACACUCAUUCUUUCCAAAACCGGCAGGAAAGACUUAUUAUGAAUUUUUGUUAGGUCAUGGAGGCAAUGACAGUUUGAUACUUGAUCAGUUAAGGAUUUUGAGAUUAUAGUGGAGUAUCCAUUUAUAGAGGAAAUUGCAGCCUGUAUUUACUUUCACAAGCAAAAUGCCAGCGCGAAGAUUUUAGAAACUUGUACAAAACUAGGCAUAAAUUAUUAUGUAUUAGAAAGGUAUUUAAUUUCAUUCCUUUCUUCUGGGUUUUGAGUGCAAAUUCAGAGUUGUCCAGCAAAGAUAAU